rnacentral:tRNA from 1 species
GCCCGCAUAGCUCAGUUGGCAUAGCAGCGGAUUUGUAAUCAGCAGGUCGUUGGUUCGAAUCCGACUGCGGGCUCCA